rnacentral:rRNA from 1 species
UACGUAGGGGCCUAGCGUUGUCCGGAAUUAUUGGGCGUAAAGAGCUUGUAGGCGGUUUUGUCGCGUCUGCUGUGAAAUUUUCGGGGCUCAACCCCGAACUUGCAGUGGGUACGGGCAGACUAGAGUGUGGUAGGGGAGACUGGAAUUCCUGGUGUAGCGGUGAAAUGCGCAGAUAUCAGGAGGAACACCGAUGGCGAAGGCAGGUCUCUGGGCCACUACUGACGCUGAGAAGCGAAAGCAUGGGGGAGCGAACAGG